GGAUCUUCAUUAGCUUGCUUUUGAAGAUCAGCGGCGGACGGGUGAGUAACACGUGGGCAACCUGCCUGUAAGACUGGGAUAACUUCGGGAAACCGGAGCUAAUACCGGAUAAUCCUUUCCCUCACAUGAGGGAAAGCUGAAAGACGGUUUCGGCUGUCACUUACAGAUGGGCCCGCGGCGCAUUAGCUAGUUGGUGAGGUAACGGCUCACCAAGGCAACGAUGCGUAGCCGACCUGAGAGGGUGAUCGGCCACACUGGGACUGAGACACGGCCCAGACUCCUACGGGAGGCAGCAGUAGGGAA
rnacentral:rRNA from 1 species